UUGGAGGGCAAGUCUGGUGCCAGCAGCCGCGGUAAUUCCAGCUCCAAUAGCGUAUAUUAAAGUUGUUGCAGUUAAAAAGCUCGUAGUUGAAUUUCGGGAUUUAUCCGUCGGUCGGGCUUUUGGGUCUGUACUGGCGUGAUGGAUUCCUACCUUCUGAAUAACCGGCAUGUCAUUAAUUUGGUGCGCCGGGGAAGCAGGACUGUUACCUUGAAAAAAUUAGAGUGCUUAAAGCAGGCUUAUGCCUGAAUACAUUAGCAUGGAAUAAUGAAAUAGGACGGCAUGGUUCUAUUUUGUUGGUUUCUAGAAUCACCGUAAUGAUUAAUAGGGAUAGUUGAGGGCAUUAGUAUUCAAUUGUCAGAGGUGAAAUUCCUGGAUUUAUUGGAGACUAACUUCUGCGAAAGCAUUUGCCAAGGAUGCUUUCAUUAAUCAAGAACGAAAGUUAGGGGAUCGAAGACGAUCAGAUACCGUCGUAGUCUUAACCAUAAACUAUGCCGACUAGGGAUCGGACGAUGUUAAUUUUUUAAUGACUCGUUCGGCGCCUUACGGGAAAC
rnacentral:rRNA from 1 species